AGUGAACGCUGGCGGUAGGCCUAACACAUGCAAGUCGAACGGCAGCACAGUAAGAGCUUGCUCUUACGGGUGGCGAGUGGCGGACGGGUGAGGAAUACAUCGGAAUCUACUUUUUCGUGGGGGAUAACGUAGGGAAACUUACGCUAAUACAGCAUACGACCUACGGGUGAAAGCAGGGGAUCUUCUGACCUUGCGCGAUUGAAUGAGCCGAUGUCGGAUUAGCUAGUUGGCGGGGUAAAGGCCCACCAAGGCGACGAUCCGUAGCUGGUCUGAGAGGAUGAUCAGCCACACUGGAACUGGGACACGGUCCAGACUCCUACGGGAGGCAGCAGUGGGGAAUAUUGGACAAUGAGCGCAAGCCUGAUCCAGCCAUACCGCGUGGGUGAAGAAGGCCUUCGGGUUGUAAAGCCCUUUUGUUGGGAAAGAAAAGCAGCAGGUUAAUACCCCGCUGUUCUGACGGUACCCAAAGAAUAAGCACCGGCUAACUUCGUG
rnacentral:rRNA from 1 species